UACGGAGGGUGCAAGCGUUAUCCGGAUUUACUGGGUUUAAAGGGUGCGUAGGCGGGUUGGGUAGUCAGUGGUGAAAUACUAUAGCUUAACUAUGGAACUGCCAUUGAUACUCUCAAUCUUGAAUACAGUGGAGGUGGGCGGAAUGCGUCAUGUAGUGGUGAAAUACUUAGAUAUGACGCAGAACACCAAUUGCGAAGGCAGCUUGCUACACUGUUAUUGACGCUGAGGCACGAAAGCGUGGGGAUCAAACAGG
rnacentral:rRNA from 2 species